rnacentral:snRNA from 1 species
GUACUCACUUCAGCUGUACGUAUACUAAAAUUGGAAUGAUCCAGAGAAGAUCAGCAUGACCCUUGCACAAGAUAGAAUGUAAAUUCUUGAAGCAUUCCAUCAUAAA